rnacentral:lncRNA from 1 species
GGACAGAGUUCAUAAUCAGUGUGUUGGGUUCACAGGCAAGAACUACACCACGUUGGAAUUUCAGUUUGAGACUUACCUUCGCGGUAAGGAUCUAUGGCAUCAUAUUGGUGGUUCUCCUGUCUGCUACUGUUGCGAAAGAGAAAGGAUUGCAGGACACUUCGAGUGCGACUUGGGCUGUCCAAGAUGCCCAAAUUCUCUCUUGGAUUCUUGGCUCUAUGGAACCUCAGAUUCUUCUUCAUCUUCGACCUUACAAGACUGCCAAAGAAAUUUGGCAAUACUUCCGCAGUGUCUAUUACCAAGAUAACUCCGCUUGCAACUUUCAAUUGGAAUUAGAUAUUUCUCAUCUGUCUCAAGGAUUGCUGUCCAUUCAGGAUUAUUACUCCCAGUUCAUGAGUCUUUGGGCUGAUUAUUCAGAAAUUAUUUUGGUUGAUGUCUCAACUGCUGCACAUGCUGCUCUUCAGACCGCUCAUCUCAACAGAAAGUGUAGUCAAUUCUUGAUGAAACUAUGGCCUGAAUAUGAAGCUGUUCGCUCCUCUUUAUUGAACCGUUCCCCUCUUCCUUCCUCAGAGGUUUGCUUUGGAGAACUUCGCAAGGAGCAGCGCUUGGCCACUCAAACCAACCUACAAGAUGCUGGUUCUCCUCUUGUAAGCAUGGCAUAUGCUGCCCAUGGGAAGCCUCGUACUACUCGUGAUUUCAGCAUGGCACAAUGCUAUUCUUGCAAACAAUUUGGGUACAUUGCCCCCUCAAUGUCCCAAUAAAUCUUGCAAGUACUGUAAGAAACGCGGAAAUAUCAUCAAAGAAAGUCCUAUUCAACCUCCAAAACCUGUUUCACGAGCUCUGCAAGCUGUUAAUGUUCCAACUAUUGAUCCUAGCCUCUCAUCCAUUGCUGACUCGUCUGCUUCAGCUGCUCUGAUGUCUCAGGGUACACCUAUCCAUCCCUCUUUAACGCCUGAAAUGGUCCAACAAAUGAUUUUAUCUGCCUUUUCUACACUUGGACUGCAAGGUAAACACCUAUCCUCAUGUCCUUGGUUCUUGGACUCUGGUGCUUCAAAUCUCAUGACUAAUUCAACCACGAACCUUAGUAAUGUUCGUCCAUAUACUGGUUCAUCUCUAAAUCAAACGGCAAAUGGCCAACAUCUGCCUAUUAAAGCUAUUGGUGAUAUCAAUUCCUCUAUUAAGGAUGUGUUUGUUUGUCCAAAACUCUACUAAUUUGGUUUCUGUAGGCCAAUUAAUCAACCAAAAAUGUGAUGUUCACUUUAGAUUUGAUGGCUGUUACGUGCAGGAGCAGGAAAUGGGACAAUUGAUGGCAAAGGGGCUUAGAGUUGGACGUCUUUUUCCGUUACACCUUUUUCCUUCGAGUGCAACAUUGUCUUCACCUUUAUUUUCUCUUGCUUGUAAAGUGUGUGUCCGAAGAGGCACCAUUCAUAAUCAUCUUCGUCUCUCACAGAACAAAGGUUUAUAAAGCUAGCAAAAUCUUCAAUGCCGCAUUCCUUUUCAACAUUACUGCAUCUGGAAUUUCCAUGCCUGAUGAUGAUGGAGUGGAAAUGAUGUGACCAGAAAUAA